rnacentral:rRNA from 1 species
CCUACGGGAGGCAGCAGUCGAGAAUCAUUCACAAUGGGGGAAACCCUGAUGGUGCGACGCCGCGUGGGGGAAUGAAGGUCUUCGGAUUGUAAACCCCUGUCAUGUGGGAGCAAAUUAAAAAGAUAGUACCACAAGAGGAAGAGACGGCUAACUCUGUGCCAGCAGCCGCGGUAAUACAGAGGUCUCAAGCGUUGUUCGGAAUCACUGGGCGUAAAGCGUGCGUAGGCUGUUUCGUAAGUCGUGUGUGAAAGGCGCGGGCUCAACCCGCGGACGGCACAUGAUACUGCGAGACUAGAGUAAGGGAGGGGGAACCGGAAUUCUCGGUGGAGCAGUGAAAUGCGUAGAUAUCGAGAGGAACACUCGUGGCGAAGGCGGGUUCCUGGACAUUAACUGACGCUGAGGCACGAAGGCCAGGGGAGCGAAAGGGAUUAGAUACCCUAGUAGUC